rnacentral:miRNA from 1 species
UGACCAAUUGUCCUGGUUUGCCUGAGACUGAGGGUAUUCCCAGACACAGGAUGUUUACUGCAAAAACCAGGAAAGUCUUGGGCAAACUAG